CGGAUGUGCAGGGGGCUGUGUAGGUCCUCCUGUGAAACUCUUAUAUACUGGAGAGCAUCCCGCAGCACAAAAUUCCUGCGAACCUCCAGUGUCAGUGGAUCUUCAUCUGUCUGUCUGAUGCAUGUCCUCGCUUGCUCGCGCAGCAUCUGCGUACCUCAGUGUCUCCAUAUUCGUCUUCUGGUUGAGAAACAUCCCUUAAAUGAAAGGAAAAAAUAAAACACAGCAAAAUACCUUAUAAGGCUGUGUGGACUGCACAUGGAGGUCGCGAAGCCCCUUUCCUACCAACAGGCUCCUGUCAACAGUAGAUUAUUGUAAAAACAACAUGCCAUCGAUUUGUUAGUUGUCACCAAAGCAAUAAUGAAAUCUGCGAUUGUCUCCAUCAAUAUCCUUGUACUGAAGACAAGCGACCGAAAACUAACGGGUUACGGACAUAAGCCGUCUGGGACAUUAGCCCCUUCAAAAGUGUGCACUAGGACGUUAGCCCCCAGGUGUUUUUAAACGUUCAUAACUUAUUUUAAAGGAAGUAUUUUUAUUCCAUUUUCAUUUCAUAUGUAAAUACAUACAAUUAUUAUAAAAUGUUGAAGUCUUAUAUAUAUUUUUUCCAAUAUAUAGCUUGU